rnacentral:rRNA from 1 species
GACGAAGGAUGCAGGCGUUAUCCGGAUUCAUUGGGUUUAAAGGGAGCGUAGGUGGCCUUAUAAGUCAGUGGUGAAAUCUCGCAGCUUAACUGCGAAAUUGCCAUUGAUACUGUAGGGCUUGAGUACAGUUGCCGUUGGCGGAAUAUGACAUGUAGUGGUGAAAUACAUAGAGAUGUCAUAGAACACCGAUUGCGAAGGCAGCUAACGAAACUGUAACUGACACUGAGGCUCGAAAGUGCGGGGAUCAAACAGG